rnacentral:rRNA from 1 species
UACGAAGGGGGCUAGCGUUGCUCGGAAUCACUGGGCGUAAAGCGCACGUAGGCGGUUUCUUAAGUCAGGGGUGAAAUCCUGGAGCUCAACUCCAGAACUGCCUUUGAUACUGGGAGACUUGGAGUCCGGAAGAGGUGAGUGGAAUUCCUAGUGUAGAGGUGAAAUUCGUAGAUAUUAGGAAGAACACCAGUGGCGAAGGCGGCUCACUGGUCCGGUACUGACGCUGAGGUGCGAAAGCGUGGGGAGCAAACAGG